GAUGAACGCUGGCGGCGUGCCUAAUACAUGCAAGUCGAGCGAACAGAUGAGGAGCUUGCUCCUCUGACGUUAGCGGCGGACGGGUGAGUAACACGUGGAUAACCUACCUAUAAGACUGGGAUAACUUCGGGAAACCGGAGCUAAUACCGGAUAAUAUAUUGAACCGCAUGGUUCAAUAGUGAAAGACGGUUUUGCUGUCACUUAUAGCUGGAUCCGCGCCGCAUUAGCUAGUUGGUAAGGUAACGGCUUACCAAGGCAACGAUGCGUAGCCGACCUGCGAGGGUGAUCGGCCACACUGGAACGGAGACACGGUCCAGACUCCUACGGGAGGCAGCAGUAGGGAAUCUUCCGCAAUGGGCGAAAGCCUGACGGAGCAACGCCGCGUGAGUGAUGAAGGUCUUCGGAUCGUAAAACUCUGUUAUUAGGGAAGAACAAAUGUGUAAGUAACUAUGCACGUCUUGACGGUACCUAAUCAGAAAGCCACGGCUAACUACGUG
rnacentral:rRNA from 1 species